rnacentral:rRNA from 1 species
UACAGAGGGUGCAAGCGUUAAUCGGAAUUACUGGGCGUAAAGCGUGCGCAGAUGGUUGCGUAAGUCAGAUGUGAAAGCCCCGGGCUCAACCUGGGAAUUGCAUUUGAGACUGCGUAGCUAGGGUGCGGAAGAGGGAAGCGGAAUUUCCGGUGUAGCGGUGAAAUGCGUAGAUAUCAGGAGGAACACCUGUGGCGAAAGCGGCGCACUGGACCACAACUGACGCUGAGGCGCGAAAGCUAGGGGAGCAAACAGG